UAGAAAAACUUCUAUGUUUUGUACAAAUUUUUAAUACUUAGAAAAACUACAUGUUCAAGUUUUUCAAAUUCGAGGAUUAAGCUUGAUGUUAGUCUUCUGUUUUUUCUCUUUUAGUCUAUACUUAUCACAUUUUUUUUUGACAAGCGGGUCGGAGGCGCGCGCACGCGUAAGGCGGCUCGUCGAGCGCCCGUCCGUCCUGGUGGCGCGGCCAGCCGCGGGUGGCCGCCGCUCCGCGCCCAGGGGGAGAGGGGGAGGAGGAGGAGGCUACGACCGGGUCGCAGGCCCAAUCGCCGAGCGGAGGAGAGGGCGAGCCUCGUGAGGCGCGACGAGCUGGACGGAGGGGAGUCAGUCCGCCCAUAUCGAGCCACAUAGGGGAGGCAGGCGUUGCCGCCGAACGGCUCGUUGCGCCGGCCGGCCCUCGUCGCUGCCCCGAGCACAACGGAGCGAGCGAGCGAGAGCCGCUGCCGCGUUCGUUCGUCGCUGGUUGCGUAAGAAGAAGAACCUACUGGUAGGCGUAGAAGAGGCGGUGUCCAUUAAAGAGGCUUGUGUAGUCCUCGUCUCGAGGUAGCGACAGAAGAAGGACUAUCAAAGGGGCAUACACACGUUCCUUGACUGGGGCACUCGGCGUUGAGUUGUCCGGGAACUCAAAGAGCCUAGAAAGGAUCGGUCCUACUACGACCACGCAGAGGUAGCUAGUUAUGUAUGAGGAGGUGGAAUUGAUGUUCAAGUGUCUAGUGUGUGCCAUACCAUACUUCAGACUUGUGUCGAAACUACGAAGACUUAACAGUUUUAACUGAUGUAAAUCGGCGCGAACGCAGCACAUUUAGAACGGAAGGAGACGUGUUGUCACCGACAGUUGUUGAUCGUGUUCAGUGUACUCAGAACAAGUGGAAGUACACAGAAACUACGACGUAGCUGUUAAAUCAGCGCGCAAGUGUUAGCCGCAGCACAGGUAGAGCGGAAGUACACGUGGUCGCCGAGAGUUGAUGAUUGUGUUCAGUUUUUUCAGAACGUGUUCGAACAAGGGACACAGUGGGUCCGUGUCCACCGCAAGGGAGGAGGUAACUACUUAACACAAUUGCUCUUAACAUACUUAUAACGAUGAAGUGUAUACUACAACCAAGGUUCUUUUUUGUCUCCAGUCGUUCAGAACGUGUUCUGGUGUGUUCAGUCGUUUGGACAUAAGUUCUACAACUACAUACCGUGCUUGCGUCUGGUGGUUAAGUACUGGUUCACCUUAAGGGAUAAGAGGAAAAACUGUUUUAGAUAGCACUGCACGAAGCGAACCAACAGCUGUUACGUAAGAUCUUGAAUAAUAUGCGUGCUUUCAGAAGGCCUCAAGGGUGCCCUCUCUCGCCACUUCAGAAGGCCAACGAGACGUUUAGUGUAGAAACUAUACGAAGACGAUGUGUUAUGUCCCUCCCACGAGAUAAGAGAGGGUGGAAAACCCAAGUUGUUUGUUUUAAGACAAUCGGUCGUACGCCGACCACGACAACAACCACACCAACACCUCGAACCGUGGGUGACGGUACUUGUGGUUCCACCGUAGACGUCGGGGACUAGGAGGUAGACGGGGAUCGGAGCGCGUGACGGGGUUUUGGACACCCCUACACUCGUAGAGCAUGGGGAAGCCGCAGCCCGGUCCGACGAAGGCCGCGCCGAAGCUGGAGUAGACGCUGUGGUGGUGGUUCGGAGGGUUCUAGAAGGAUCCGUUGUGGUGGUGGGUCCACUAGUCGGAGAAGGGAAGUCCUUGGCAGGAACGGAGGUAGUACAUGUGGUAGGGGUACCACGGCCCACAACCGUGGAUGUUGGACAGAACCCUCAGAGGUCCCUCCUUGGAGUUGUAGCGCUGGAUGUUGAUGGACCCCAAGGAGCCGACGCCGUAGCCCCAGAUGGACAUGGUGGGACUGUGCCCACUGGAGCAGCCGGUGACGUGCUAAUUCACGCGGAGGUACCGCUCGAACGAGGAGCACUGCCUUCCACCUCCCUAGACGUUACCGUACCCGACGACGUGGCAGUGAAAGGGGCACCGCAAGGCUCCGAAAUCCCACUGGUAGCACUUCUUGUUGCUCUGCCAUGGCGUCGGAAAACGAUUAUAGUGGUAGUUCCGAAAGAACAGUAAGGCGGGCAUAUACAAAGCAUAGCGCCUGGAAAACAGACUAUUCUAUUUACGCUCGUGACAACCACGAAGGAGACGACGCAUGGAGAGCUGACACUAGUGUCUAUUCGGGUUAACGCGAUUUCGAGCCAGCCUACUAUUCCGCGCCAUACGGACACCGUCAUCGUUAACACACUUACACUGUUUACCUCCGAUGAGGACAUGGACGAGACCGUCAAGACUACUACCAUUAGGGAUGUAAGAACUACUAACGUUUGUUCCAUGAGUGGGAGGAAGGUGUGGAUCAAAAAAAAAAGUAAACAGACGAGUAGGUUAAUAUACUUAAUAUAAAAAGUUUUUUCAUGAGGGAGGCAAGGAAAAAUAUUCUGCAAAACCUCUCGGUUGUAACUCGACAAAACACGAGACAGACUUAAGAGAUUUGCAGAAUAUUUUCCCUUGUCUCCCUCAUAUACUUAACACACUACACAAUUCUUGUAAGACCUUUACUAUCAGUCCCUAAACUUGUUGUUUACCACAUAUUUCACGAAGUAAACAGGUAACUAACAAUAGAGUAAUGUAUACUAACCAAUGACUAUAAAGAAGUGACUUUGUCUCAUAUUAGUAUGGGGGUUUUACUUGACAAGAUCUAGUACACCAUCGUGUUUGUAAGGAAAGGGGAAACCCAAACUUGGUCCCACAAUACGAUGGUCCUCUAAAGUUGACUUAACGCGUAGGUUAGCGUGAGAAUAACCGUCCGGUGGACAUUUUAUACUUCACUGUUUAUAAAGUAAUCUACUACCUGACGAUAUACAAUUAUUCGAAAGUCUCAAACUUCUACGGUUGUACUUAAUAGAUAGUUAUAUGAUGCCACCGAGGCCUAUGAAACCAGUCGUCGAUCAUAUACCUAACCUAUUCAGACUAAAUAGACUCCUUAAACCACAGACCUCCACCAGACGCCGGUUAGACUGUACACUUUUACGUUUUUUGCUGUCACGUAUACGUACGGCAUCGCGCUUAUCACUCACAUAACCACAGUGUGUACCUUUUGAGAUGUAACCAAUGGCUACGUUCACGAGAGGACCGAAACUUCCUUUAGGAAUACAGGUUUCACCUACGUGUCUAUAACUGCUCACGGACAAUGGGUUAUCGACAUUACCCUGUACGAUAUUGGACUUUCCUUCGAAGGCAACAACGGGAGUACCGUACAAGAAACUAGGUCAUCCUUUUGUCACGUGAGGGCUAUUCGCCGUUUUAGAAUAAAACCCCCAAAGAUGACCCUAGCCGUCACCAAAACCUCACGAUCGAGAACGUGACCCACGCUAAUAUGAUCACUCCUCUAACUUCUCUCCGCGAGUUUCCUUUUAGGCUUCCCGUAAGAAGUCUUUUUUGUUUCCGGACGAGGACCUCGUCGACUAGAGUAGGUGGUCACUUUCGCAGUGAGUGUCGUGUUCCUAUAAAAGGAACCUUCUCGAUCUCUUUCGUUGGUUGUUGAAACUGGGCUGCGCACACGAGCCCGUGCCUCCGGUACCGUGGCAGAUGUUCCCCUAAAAUAGGCUGGUCGCCCACCACCGGUAGUUCUUCAGGUUCUACCACCUCGUCUCGCUCUAGCUGGUCAAGCAGUUGCUCCACAGGUAGGACAGGGUCUAGUAGGUGGCGUUGCACCACUUCGAGAAGCCCACGACGGAGCUCAGGCUCCACGGCGAAGAGCACAUGCUCAAGUAGAGGUUGCCGUGCGAGGUACUGGAGGAGGUGCCGCUGGUCCCACGGUUUACGAACGACUGCACCCUGCUGGCAUAGUCCCAACGAGACCUCCGACGUCCCCGCGAACGGAUGGAGGUGAGCAGACGGCGCUACGGCUAGAAGGUGUCCCUACACUUCAGACGGUUGUAUGAUAACCUACUGUGAAAGUGGUGGUUCCAGAGCCUGAAGCCGCGGAGGUCCAGGUAGAGGUAGCUGGUCUGAGUGCACCAGUGGUAGCACGUCCCCUGUAAGCCGAUGGAUCUGGGUCUCAUGAUAAUGUGACCCGUCGAGUGGCUCUUCUCGCUGCAGAUGUCGAAGCCGCACUAUGACCAGCUCGAGAAUUGUUCCUUCUUCGGUUAAAAAGAGUUGUCAGAGCCGCUCGUUGUCUUGAACACGGUAAUGAAGGAACCUGCCGACUUUCUGCUUUGGCAGUACCUAUAAUAGCUAAGAGUUCAACACCUGCUCCGGUCGGUCUCGCUCUAGCUGCUCUAGCGCAGCCAGCGGCACUACACGAACUCCUGAUCUCCGCCCGUCUCCGGAUUCUACUUUCUCCACCUCAAUUCCGACGUCGAAGACGCUCGGUCCUCUGCUGGAGCAUCUUGUGUGCUUGUCCUCGACGCUUCCCUGCCGCUGUGGUUCGGUAGCAACAGUUGAGGUUACUUCAGGUCUAGGUGAAGACACCGGUACCGGUUCUUGCAACUCGAACCACAGCAGCGACAAUUAAGCAGCAGCGUCCGAGAGUGCUCCACGAUGAGGUACCUCGUUCUCUACCGUCGAAGUAGUCUCAAAGGAGCAAUCUACGUCUUAGACAAUGCUUCUCCCGAAGGGUCACACGGCAAAACAAAUAGCUCUGACAACGUCGUGGACCUAAAAUCAAGCUCCCACAGUGUUAAGUUAGGGACAUUGAUCACCACUGAUCACCUUCUUACACACGUGUUUAAGUCACAUUCUUACAGGUGUGGCCUAAGUCACAUUUUCAGAAUAAUGGAAAAAAAAAUGGGGAGUUUAAAACCAUCGGUCCUUAAUUGUCACAUGUCUUUUUCUUAAAGGACAACUAAACGGGAUAACAAAUCGACGACUUGACGUGGUAGACAAACCUAAACCCGUAUAACCAAAGUGG
rnacentral:rRNA from 1 species